rnacentral:rRNA from 1 species
GAUGAACGCUGGCGGCGUGCCUAAUACAUGCAAGUCGAGCGAACAGACGAGGAGCUUGCUCCUCUGACGUUAGCGGCGGACGGGUGAGUAACACGUGGAUAACCUACCUAUAAGACUGGGAUAACUUCGGGAAACCGGAGCUAAUACCGGAUAAUAUAUUGAACCGCAUGGUUCAAUAGUGAAAGACGGUUUUGCUGUCACUUAUAGAUGGAUCCGCGCCGCAUUAGCUAGUUGGUAAGGUAACGGCUUACCAAGGCAACGAUGCGUAGCCGACCUGAGAGGGUGGUCGGCCACCCUGGAACUGAGACACGGUCCAGGCUCCUACGGGAGGCGGCAGUAGGGAAUCUUCCGCAAUGGGCGAAAGCCUGACGGAGCAACGCCGCGUGAGUGAUGAAGGUCUUCGGAUCGUAAAACUCUGUUAUUAGGGAAGAACAAAUGUGUAAGUAACUAUGCACGUCUUGACGGUACCUAAUCAGAAAGCCACGGCUAACUACGUG